rnacentral:rRNA from 1 species
AAUCAUGACUCAGGAUUGAGACGUGGGCGGACAGGCUUGACACAUGCAAGUCGAGCGGGGGUAGCAAUACCCUAGGCGGCGAUACGGAUGAGUAAUGCUUGGGGAAUAUGCCCAGUAGUGGGGGAUAACGGUCUGAAAGGAAACGCUAAUACCGCAUACGCCCUACGGGGGAAAGCUAGGGGAUCUUCGGACCUUGCGCUAUUGGAUGAGCCCAAGUGGGAUUAGCUAGUUGGUGGGGUAAAGGCCCACCAAGGCGACGAUCCCUAGCUGGUCUGAGAGGAUGAUCAGCCACACUGGAACUGAGACACGGUCCAGACUCCUACGGGAGGCAGCAGUGGGGAAUAUUGGACAAUGGGCGAAAGCCUGAUCCAGCCAUGCCGCGUGUGUGAAGAAGGCCUUCGGGUUGUAAAGCACUUUAAGCGAGGAGGAAGGUUCGCUGGCUAAUAUCCAGCGGAAUUGACGUUACUCGCAGAAUAAGCACCGGCUAACUCUGUGCCAGCAGCCGCGGUAAUACAGAGGGUGCAAGCGUUAAUCGGAAUUACUGGGCGUAAAGCGCGCGUAGGCGGUUGUGUAAGUUGGAGGUGAAAUCCCCGGGCUUAACCUGGGCACUGCCUUCAAAACUGCACGGCUAGAGUAUGGGAGAGGAAGGUAGAAUUCCAGGUGUAGCGGUGAAAUGCGUAGAGAUCUGGAGGAAUACCGAUGGCGAAGGCAGCCUUCUGGCCUAAUACUGACGCUGAGGUGCGAAAGCAUGGGGAGCAAACAGGAUUAGAUACCCAGGUAGUCCAUGCCGUAAACGAUGUCGACUAGGUGUUGGGGAACUUGAUUCCUUAGUGCCGCAGCUAACGCAUAAGUCGACCGC